UUCGGUGGCCAUAGCGAAGGGGAAAUACCCGGUUCCAUUCCGAACCCGGAAGUCAAGCCCUUCUGCGCCGAUGGUACUGCAAGAGGUAUUUUGUGGGAGACUAGGACGCCGCCGGAC
rnacentral:rRNA from 1 species